CCUACGGGAGGCACCAGUUGGGGAAUAUUGCACAAUGGAGGAAACUCUUGAUGCANCAAUGUCGCGUGAGUGAAGAAGGCCCUUGGGUCGUAAAGCUCUUUUAUGGGGGAAGAUGAUGACGGUACCCCAAGAAUAAGCACCGGCUAACUAUGUGCCAGCAGCCGCGGUAAUACAUAGGGUGCGAGCGUUGUUCGGAAUUACUGGGCGUAAAGGGCGCGCAGGCGGAAUAGUAAGUCGGAAGGUGAAAAGCCCGGGGCUCAACCCCGGAGGGUCUUUCCGAAACUGCUAAUCUAGAGAGGGGUCAGGGGCCGGCAGAAUUCCCUGGGUGUAGGAGGUGAAAUUCGUAGAUAUCAGGAGGAAUACCGGUGGCGAAGGCGGCCGGCUGGGGCCACUCUGACGCUGAGGCGCGAAAGCGUGGGGAGCAAACAGGAUUAGAUACCCUGGUAGUCCACGCCGUAAACGAUGAGCACUGGACGUCCGGAGGGUUCGACCCUUCUGGGUGUCUCAGCUAACGCAUUAAGUGCUCCGCCUGGGGAGUACGGUCGCAAGACUAAAACUCAAAUGAAUUGACGG
rnacentral:rRNA from 1 species